rnacentral:rRNA from 1 species
AUUGAACGCUGGCGGCAGGCUUAACACAUGCAAGUCGAGCGGAGAUGAGGUGCUUGCACCUUAUCUUAGCGGCGGACGGGUGAGUAAUGCUUAGGAAUCUGCCUAUUAGUGGGGGACAACAUUCCGAAAGGAAUGCUAAUACCGCAUACGUCCUACGGGAGAAAGCAGGGGAUCUUCGGACCUUGCGCUAAUAGAUGAGCCUAAGUCGGAUUAGCUAGUUGGUGGGGUAAAGGCCUACCGAGGCGACGAUCUGUAGCGGGUCUGAGAGGAUGAUCCGCCACACUGGGACUGAGACACGGCCCAGACUCCUACGGGAGGCAGCAGUGGGGAAUAUUUGACAAUGGGGGGAACCCUGAUCCAGCCAUGCCGCGUGUGUUAAGAAGGCCUUAUGGUUGUAAAGCACUUUAAGCGAGGAGGAGGCUACUGAGACUAAUACUCUUGGAUAGUGGACGUUACUCGCAGAAUAAGCACCGGCUAACUCUGUGCCAGCCGCCGCGGUAA